UUACGGGAGGCAGCAGUGGGGAAUUUUGGACAAUGGGCGCAAGCCUGAUCCAGCCAUGCCGCGUGCGGGAAGAAGGCCUUCGGGUUGUAAACCGCUUUUGGCAGGAACGAAACGACGCCCCCUAAUACGGGGCGCUAAUGACGGUACCUGCAGAAUAAGCACCGGCUAACUACGUGCCAGCAGCCGCGGUAAUACGUAGGGUGCAAGCGUUAAUCGGAAUUACUGGGCGUAAAGCGUACGCAGGCGGCUAUGUAAGACAGGUGUGAAAUCCCCGGGCCUAACCUGGGAACUGCAUUUGUGACUGCAUGGCUAGAGUUUGUCAGAGGGGGGUGGAAUUCCACGUGUAGCAGUGAAAUGCGUAGAGAUGUGGAGGAACACCGAUGGCGAAGGCAGCCCCCUGGGAUGUGACUGACGCUCAUGUACGAAAGCGUGGGGAGCAAACAGGAUUAGAUACCCGGGUAGUCCG
rnacentral:rRNA from 1 species